rnacentral:rRNA from 1 species
AUUGAACGCUGGCGGCAGGCUUAACACAUGCAAGUCGAGCGGGGAAAGGUAGCUUGCUACCUAACCUAGCGGCGGACGGGUGAGUAAUGCUUAGGAAUCUGCCUAUUAGUGGGGGACAACAUUCCGAAAGGAAUGCUAAUACCGCAUACGCCCCACGGGGGAAAGCAGGGGAUCUUCGGACCUUGCGCUAAUAGAUGAGCCUAAGUCAGAUUAGCUAGUUGGUGGGGUAAAGGCCUACCAAGGCGACGAUCUGUAGCGGGUCUGAGAGGAUGAUCCGCCACACUGGGACUGAGACACGGCCCAGACUCCUACGGGAGGCAGCAGUGGGGAAUAUUGGACAAUGGGCGAAAGCCUGAUCCAGCCAUGCCGCGUGUGUGAAGAAGGCCUUUUGGUUGUAAAGCACUUUAAGCGAGGAAGAGGCUACUUGGAUUAAUACUCUAGGAUAGUGGACGUUACUCGCAGAAUAAGCACCGGCUAACUCUGUGCCAGCCGCCGCCGUAACAC